rnacentral:tRNA from 1 species
GGGCCUGUAGCUCAGUUGGUUAGAGCAGGGGACUCAUAAUCCCUUGGUCCUAGGUUCGAAUCCUAGCGGGCCCACCA